rnacentral:rRNA from 1 species
AGAACGAACGCUGGCGGCAUGCCUAACACAUGCAAGUCGAACGCUUUUGGGGCUUCGGUCCCAAAGGAGUGGCGCACGGGUGAGUAGCGCGUGGGAACCUGCCCUGUUGUGGGGGAUAACCGAGGGAAACUUCGGCUAAUACCGCAUACGCCCGGGGGAAACUCCGGGGAAAGAUUUAUCGCAGCAGGAGGGGCCCGCGUCGGAUUAGGUAGUUGGUGGGGUAACGGCCCACCAAGCCUGUGAUCCGUAGCUGGUCUGAGAGGAUGAUCAGCCACACUGGGACUGAGACACGGCCCAGACUCCUACGGGAGGCAGCAGUGGGGAAUAUUGGACAAUGGGCGCAAGCCUGAUCCAGCAAUGCCGCGUGAGUGAUGAAGGCCUUCGGGUUGUAAAGCUCUUUCGCACGCGACGAUGAUGACGGUAGCGUGAGAAGAAGCCCGGCUAACUCGUGCCAGCAGCCGC